rnacentral:rRNA from 1 species
CAAUAGCGUAUAUUUAAGUUGUUGCAGUUAAAAAGCUCGUAGUUGGAUUUCGGUUAAGAGCGACCGGUCCGCCGUUUGGUGUGCACUGGUUGGUUUUAACUUCCUGUAGAGGACGUGCUCUGGGUUUAACGACCUGGACUCGGAGUCUACGUGGUUACUUUGAAAAAAUUAGAGUGUUCAAAGCGGGCUUACGCUUGAAUAUUUCAGCAUGGAAUAACACGAUAGGACUCCUGUCCUAUUUCGUUGGUCUCGGGACGGGAGUAAUGAUUAAGAGGAACAGUUGGGGGCAUUCGUAUUUCAUUGUCAGAGGUGAAAUUCUUGGAUUUAUGAAAGACGAACUUCUGCGAAAGCAUUUGCCAAGGAUGUUUUCAUUAA